UACGUAGGCAGCAAGCGUUGUUCGGAGUUACUGGGCGUAAAGGGUGCGUAGGCGGCUUUUUAAGUUUGGUGUGAAAUCUCCCGGCUCAACUGGGAGGGUGCGCCGAAUACUGAGAGGCUAGAGUGUGGGAGAGGAAAGUGGAAUUCCUGGUGUAGCGGUGAAAUGCGUAGAUAUCAGGAGGAACACCGGUGGUGUAAACGGCUUUCUGGACCAUGACUGACGCUGAGGCACGAAAGCGUGGGUAGCAAACAGG
rnacentral:rRNA from 1 species